CCCGCGCACACCCCCUUAGGCUCACUGGCUGAGCCAGUACACCAAUCCGAAGGCGCAGCCGGCUCCGGCCAGCCAAUGGGAAGGCUGUUGCUAACACGCCGCAGUUAUUUUUAGUACGGCCGCCGCUCGCGUACCUUGCUGGUUCCCCGGCUCCGCUACGGACGGGCCGGCCCUCCUUCACUGAGGGCGGAAGCAUAGGGGUGUGCGGCGACAAGUAGUGCGCGGGUUGUGUGCCGAGGGGUGGGGAGCGCGGGGCCGUGGGGGCGGCUGAGCCUGCCCUCCGUGCGGUGACUUGGGCGGCCCCCGCUGCGCCUUGCCCCGUUGUCUCCUGAGGCGAUGGGCCGGCAGCACCUCCCCUCCCGCCGUGUCACGGGGCUGGGGGUCCCGUAGGGAGCAGCUGUGGGGAAAGGAGGUGGAGUUGCCUGUUUUCCUCGCCUUGGCGCUCUACCGCCUGCCUGCACCGCUAGCGGAGCUGGGGGGUUCCAGUGCGGGAGUGCUUGAACUCUUGGCUAUAGCUGUCUAGCGAGCGAGCUUGUCCCUUUGGGAGCCGUACUUCCUCAGGGUCCCCCUCACCCGAGCGGCCUGUCCGCAUCAGUGUAUCCGACCUCGCUGCCAAGCACCCGAGGAGAACGCCGGCCGGUCCCUUCCCUCCCCACUCCUGCUCCAUCACCUCACCAUGUCCGCCCAAUCCCCAAGGCCUCAGGCUAGGCCGCUUGGGGAAGUCCUGAGGUCAACCCUCAUCCCCCGUAAAGCCCCUGCCCCUUCCUUCCCCCUGUGCCGCCAGCGCUGAGCGAACAGGGGUACACAUCCCCCCGCUUCCCUAUCCAGUCCCUAGGGCUCUGCGGGAGACUAGGGGAGGGGGAAGUAGUCCCGGCCCGCCCUCCGCCGCCGCAUCACGCUGGGCGGGAGCGCGGAUCCCUGCGCGGGGUUGCUAAGGGUGAAAGUUUGCCGUGAGUUGGCUCACUUGAGGCUAGGGUGCGGGUGGCUCCGGGCCGGCGGGCGGCGGCAGUAGGGGCGAGAGGCGGCGACACCGGCACCCGCACCCCACCCUGGGCAUCCCGCACUACCGCUGGCCCCACCGCAGCCCCCGGUCCCGCCCCGCGGAGGAACCGUACCGCUGGGGAGAAGGCGAGGGAGGGGACGGGACGGGGCAGAGAUCCGCACACACCGCCCGGGCUCCGCCGGCAGCGCCCACGGCCACGACAGCCGCCGGCCCUGGAGCCGAGGACGAAGUCUGUUUGGAGCCACAUCUUGUCUAUGUGUGUGUCAUUUUGUCUCUUUUAAUACACUGCCCUGAC
rnacentral:lncRNA from 1 species